rnacentral:rRNA from 1 species
AUGCCUCUCGAGCUUUUCCACCACUUGGUCACUCUGCUCCUUCUCCUUGUGGCUGCCGAUCGCGGUCUCGCGGCCACGGUCGGCAGCGACGACGGUUGGCAGUUCGCCUACAAUGGCUUUGCCGGCACGAACCUCACUCUCGACGGUGUGGCCAAGGUCACGCCCAACGGCCUCCUCAUGCUGACCAACGGCACCAUCCAGCAGAAAGGGCACGCCUUCCACCCGUUCCGGGCCGCGCGCUCCUUCUACACGACCUUCGUCCUUGCCAUCUUCGGGCAGUACAUCGACCUGAGCAGCCCUGGCAUGGCCUUCUUCAUCACCACGUCCAAGGAGGUGCUGUCUACAGCGCUCCCUGGCCAGUACAUGGGCCUCCUCAACGCCACCAACAACACCGACCGGGAAGCCCACAUCUUCGCCGUGCAGUUGGACACCCUCCACAACUCCGAGUGCCACGACUUAAACGGCAACCAUGUCGGCGUCGACCUGGAUAGCAUGGUGUCCCGAGAUUCCGCCGAUGCUGGUUACAACGACGAUGCCACGGGCCGGUUCCACAACCUAAGCCUCAUCAGCCGGAAGGCAAUGCAGGUAUGGGUGGACUACUAUGCCUCUGCCACAGAGAUCGCCGUGACCAUGGCUCCCCUUGGCAUAGACAAGCCCAAGAAGCCCCUGCUACGUACCACCAUGGACCUCUCGACCGUGGUGCAGGACAUGGCCUACGUUGGGUUCUCCUCGGCAACGGGAGCCCUCUUCACACGCCACUUUGUCGUUGGUUGGAGCUUCGCGCUGGACAGGCUAGCUCCGAUGUUGAAUAUCUUGUCGUUGCAUGCCUUGCCGCCGAUCGGACCCAAGUCACGGUCCAAAGUGUUGCAGAUCGUGCUACCCAUAGCAUCCUCCACAACGGUUUUAUCCAUGGGCAUCAUUGUUUACAUUUUGGUUCGAAGGCAUCUCAGGUACGCGGAGGUCCAUGAGGACUGGGAGAAAGCAUUUGGGCCGCACCGAUUCUCUUACAAGGAUUUAUUUCAAGCGACCAAGGGGUUCAGCCAGAAGAACCUACUCGGAGCUGGAGGCUUUGGAAGCGUCUACAAGGGCGUGCUUCGCAAGUCUCACAUGGAGGUCGCCGUGAAGAGGCUGUCGCAUGAGUCAAGGCAAGGGAUGAAGGAGUUUAUCACGGAGGUUGCAAGCAUGCGAAGCCUGCGCCACCGCAAUCUGGUGCCGUUGCUCGGUUAUUCCCGACGAAAGGGAGAAUUUCUCUUGGUCUAUGUUUACAUGCCAAAUGGUAGCCUGGAUAAAUAUCUAUACGUUCGUAGCAAGAUGAGCGAAAUAACCACGUAG